AGAGUUUGAUUCUGGCUCAGGACGAACGCUGGCGGCAUGCUUAACACAUGCAAGUCGAACGGAGCACCCCUGAACGAGGUUUCGGCCGAAGUGACGGGAAUGCUUAGUGGCGGACGGGUGAGUAACGCGUGAGCAACCUGCCUUGAAGUGGGGGACAACAGUUGGAAACGACUGCUAAUACCGCAUAAUAUAUUUAGAUCGCAUGGUUUAGAUAUCAAAGAUUUAUCGCUUCAAGAUGGGCUCGCGUCUGAUUAGGUAGUUGGCGGGGUAACGGCCCACCAAGCCGACGAUCAGUAGCCGGACUGAGAGGUUGAACGGCCACAUUGGGACUGAGAUACGGCCCAGACUCCUACGGGAGGCAGCAGUGGGGAAUAUUGGGCAAUGGGCGCAAGCCUGACCCAGCAAUGCCGCGUGAAGGAAGAAGGCUUUCGGGUUGUAAACUUCUUUGACAGGGGAAGAGCAGAAGACGGUACCCUGAAAACAAGCCACGGCUAACUACGUGCCAGCAGCCGCGGUAAUAC
rnacentral:rRNA from 1 species